UACGGAGGGGGCUAGCGUUGUUCGGAAUUACUGGGCGUAAAGCGCACGUAGGCGGCUUUGUAAGUUAGAGGUGAAAGCCCGGAGCUCAACUCCGGAAUUGCCUUUAAGGCUGCAUCGCUCGAAUCAUGGAGAGGUGAGUGGAAUUCCGAGUGUAGAGGUGAAAUUCGUAGAUAUUCGGAAGAACACCAGUGGCGAAGGCGACUCACUGGACAUGUAUUGACGCUGAGGUGCGAAAGCGUGGGGAGCAAACAGG
rnacentral:rRNA from 1 species